rnacentral:lncRNA from 1 species
GUGCUAUGGUGGGAGGCACCAAUACGGGAGGCACUAUGUGGAGAGGUUCCUGACCUGGCGGCAUGUCUUAGAGCCUGCCGUGACAACUCAGCUUCUUCCAACUUACGAAGAAGACAGGUCCAGUUGAUGUCUGAGGACAGGCGGAUGUGGGUACCCUUCACCUUCUUGAAGCCUAGAAAGAUGUCCAUGAGAACCUCAGUGAUAGGAAAGGAGAUGAAGCCAAGUUGCUUACUGAGGCUUUCCUCAAACUUUUAGUGAGUUCCUCAAACCAGGGGUUAGAGACGUAGGACAAGCUGGAAACAGACGAGAUGGAGGGCAGAGGUUUCUUCUUCGAAAACUUGGUGUUGGGGCUCUGUGCAACAGCCAAGGAAAGAAAAGGAGAUGUUUAACCCUUGUCAUCCCCCUACUGCCCUGUGACAUCAUAUUGCUACACCCACCUUGGCCAUUGUGCCAGUCUUCCCCCGUUACAGUCAGGGAAGCCAAGCUCAUCACACCAGGAUACAGGCCUGCCACAUCUGCCUACUGUAACGCUCAGCCCAUGCCACAUCUGCCUACUGUAAUGUUCAGCUUUACCUGUCAGGUCUAGAGCAAACCCAGCAGCCUGAGCAGGCUGUGCGCGUGCAAGCUUGCACACAGCUUGUGUUCAGGAAUUACACUGGAGCCCUGAUGAUGGUAGGUUGAGAUGUCCAGAGACCUUCAAGGUCAGGCCAUCUAUGUCUUCAUACACACUUUUUGACCAAGGUCCCCUUCAUGGAGCAGAAAGUCUAGAGAGUCCUAAAGCUAGAUUAG